ACACUCGUAUCCGAUAUAGCAAGCGAUAAUUUCUUGGAUUUUCUGUGGUCUCAUCUGAAAUAGAAAACUUUAUUGUUAGAUAUGAAUUGCAACAUUCAAAUGACUUGCACUACUCUUAAGAUAAAAACUUUAAAACAAAUGAUCAAUUUUAUAAAAAACUUAGUCAAUGAAUGAAAAAUCACUCAAAGAUUUUUGACUUCAAACCUUUGAAAAUAUAUUCAAUAAAAGUCUGAAUAAUAUUUGUAGGUAUAACUUUCAAAUAUUUUCAAGGCAGACAUCAUAGUCUAUGCGAUAGUUUUACCAUUCCUUUUAAACGUCAUUCUUCUCUGUUACGCGGUUUCCCUUUCUAGUGUAUGAAUGUGUGUACCUAGGCUGAGUGGUAACAGAAGUAACUAACCUAUAAGUAUUUAGCACCUCAUUAAAAGUUUUUAUGAUGCUAAGGACAAUGAGGACAAAGAAUGGGCUGAACAUAAAGAUCUGACACGUACUCAAGCGUUUUAUUAGCCACCAAAAAAACAGAAAGGAAGGAAGGAUAAGGUGAGGAAGGUAUUAUGCCUGAGAAAGUGUGCAUAUAAUAAAAUGUCGCCAACAAUGUGUUUAAUCAAAAGGCAUUUUAGUAUCAUAGAAUACACAGGCUGCUUUCAAGUACGAGUCGCUUAAGGAUUUAGAUUUCAGCAAAUUAAUCUUUCUUUUUAGUCUCAACGAAUACGCAAUUAA